rnacentral:rRNA from 1 species
AUUGAACGCUGGCGGCAUGCCUUACACAUGCAAGUCGAACGGCAGCGGGGGAGAAGCUUGCUUUUCCUGCCGGCGAGUGGCGAACGGGUGAGUAAUACAUCGGAACGUGCCCUGUAGUGGGGGAUAACUAGUCGAACGAUUAGCUAAUACCGCAUACGACCUGAGGGUGAAAGUGGGGGACCGCAAGGCCUCAUGCUAUAGGAGCGGCCGAUGUCUGAUUCGCUAGUUGGUGGGGUAAAGGCCUACCAAGGCGACGAUCAGUAGCUGGUCUGAGAGGACGUUCAGCCACACUGGGACUGAGACACGGCCCAGACUCCUACGGGAGGCAGCAGUGGGGAAUUUUGGACAAUGGGCGAAAGCCUGAUCCAGCAAUGCCGCGUGUGUGAAGAAGGCCUUCGGGUUGUAAAGCACUUUUGUCCGGAAAGAAAUGGCUCUGGUUAAUACCUGGGGUCGAUGACGGUACCGGAAGAAUAAGGACCGGCUAACUACGUGCCAGCCGCCGCAGUAA